GUUUUUCUGACUCUCUGCUAUCCGUUAGCCGGCAUGCCGCAGAGAAAGAGGAGUUUCACUUUUGGAGCCUACGGAGGAGUUGACAAGACAUUCUCCAAGGCCAGAAGCUUAUGGAAACAAGAUGGGAGUGACCCCCGGAUUUCUGCAACACUAGAGCCCCAGCUGUUCCAGCCUACAGUCC